rnacentral:rRNA from 1 species
UACGGAGGGUGCAAGCGUUAUCCGGAUUCACUGGGUUUAAAGGGUGUGUAGGCGGCUACGUAAGUCAGGGGUGAAAUCUCCGGGCUCAACCCGGAAACUGCCAUUGAUACUAUGUGUCUUGAAUUUUGUUGAGGAGGGCGGAAUAUGUCAUGUAGCGGUGAAAUGCUUAGAUAUGACAUAGAACACCGAUUGCGAAGGCAGCUCUCUAAGCAAACAUUGACGCUGAGGCACGAAAGCGUGGGGAUCAAACAGG